GACGAACGCUGGCGGCGUGCUUAACACAUGCAAGUCGAACGGAAAGGCCCUGCUUUUGUGGGGUGCUCGAGUGGCGAACGGGUGAGUAACACGUGAGUAACCUGACCUUGACUUUGGGAUAACUUCAGGAAACUGGGGUUAAUAUCGGAUAGGAGCUCCUGCUGCAUUGUGGGGGUUGGAAAGUUUCGGCGGUUGGGGAUGGACGCGCGGCUUAUCAGCUUGUUGGUGGGGUAGUGGCUGACCAAGGCAUUGACGGGUAGCCGGCCUGAGAGGGUGACCGGCCACAUUGGGACUGAGAUACGGCCCAGACUCCUACGGUAGGCAGCAGGGGGGAAUAUUGCACAAUGGGCGGAAGCGUGAUGCAGCAACGUCGCGUGCGGGAUGACGGCCUUCGGGGUGUAAACCGCUUUCGCCUGUGACGAAGCGUGAGUGACGGUAAUGGGUAAAGAAGCACCGGCUAACUACGUG
rnacentral:rRNA from 1 species